GGAGCAGGUCCGACCGGUCGAGGAAACUGUUUGCUAAACAGUCGGUCUCCUGACGAGAUUUGCAGGUUCGAGUCCUGUCUGCUCCGCCA
rnacentral:tRNA from 1 species